ACGCUAGCUACAGGCUUAACACAUGCGAGUCGAGGGGAAACGGCAUUAAGUGCUUGCACUUUUUGGACGUCGACCGGCGCACGGGUGAGUAACGCGUAUCCAACCUUCCCAUGACUAAGGGAUAACCUGCCGAAAGGCAGACUAAUACCUUAUGGUCUUCACUGACGGCAUCAGAUGUGAAGUAAAGAUUUAUCGGUUAUGGAUGGGGAUGCGUCUGAUUAGUUAGUUGGCGGGGUAACGGCCCACCAAGGCAACGAUCAGUAGGGGUUCUGAGAGGAAGGUCCCCCACAUUGGAACUGAGACACGGUCCAAACUCCUACGGGAGGCAGCAGUGAGGAAUAUUGGUCAAUGGGCGAGAGCCUGAACCAGCCAAGUAGCGUGCAGGAUGACGGCCCUAUGGGUUGUAAACUGCUUUUGUAUGGGGAUAAAGUCAAUCACGUGUGAUUGUUUGCAGGUACCAUACGAAUAAGGACCGGCUAAUUCCGUGCCAGCAGCCGCGGUAAUACGGAAGGUCCGGGCGUUAUCCGGAUUUAUUGGGUUUAAAGGGAGCGUAGGCUGGAGAUUAAGUGUGUUGUGAAAUGUAGACGCUCAACGUCUGACUUGCAGCGCAUACUGGUUUCCUUGAGUACGCACAACGUUGGCGGAAUUCGUCGUGUAGCGGUGAAAUGCUUAGAUAUGACGAAGAACUCCGAUUGCGAAGGCAGCUGACGGGAGCGCAACUGACGCUGAAGCUCGAAGGUGCGGGUAUCGAACAGGAUUAGAUACCCUGGUAGUCCGCACAGUAAACGAUGGAUGCCCGCUGUUGGUACUUGGUAUCAGCGGCUAAGCGAAAGCAUUAAGCAUCCCACCUGGGGAGUACGCCGGCAACGGUGAAACUCAAAGGAAUUGACGGGGGCCCGCACAAGCGGAGGAACAUGUGG
rnacentral:rRNA from 1 species